rnacentral:tRNA from 1 species
GCCGGGGUGCCCGAGCGGACUAAGGGGCUGGCCUUGAGAGCCAGUGGGGCAUGGUCCCCGCGCGGGUUCAAAUCCCGCCCCCGGCGCCA